GUCACACACAGACAUGGAAGACAGUAGUCGCUCUUUUCAGAGCCUGAUUGAAGUGAUUGACGAAUUUGGCACCAUGCUGUUGGCUGAGACACGAAUUUUGAUGCUGAAAGACUUGGAAACCAUACUGUCGACCACGUCGAGAAGCUGAGUAACAUUCUGCUUUUACAAAGGCACCUCUUAAUAAAAGGAACUUAAGCCAUCCAAUAUAGGACUUUCAUCAAAUCGUGCAGGCUGCAUGGAAGUCACAUUUACCUUUGCUGCGAACAUCAUGAACACAUACACUAUUUGAAGGUUCAUGUUUACGUAGCAGUGGUGUUGCUGUCCAAUGUGGCGUGUUGUUGCAGCCUAUGGUGGUGAAAGACAUCUGCAUCAAGUUGCUGUUCCUUGUGCAUCCGAGGUGCUGGUUUUGUGCUACAGAAGUGACAUCCAAUAUUGUCUUUAAUUGCUAUUUGUGUCUUUGCAGUUUACCUUUAUAUAUUGAGAAGGAACCAAAAAAAAGUAACACGGGGAGGUUUAUGUCAAACAAAUAAUAAACAUGUCCAGGAUGGGGGAAUGAGGAGGAAGUUGGGGUGGGGUAUUUGGUUAUGAAUUACUAAAA